AGCCUGCAGUGGUCACGUGGUACAAGUCGUAGCUCUCAGAAAACUCCCAGUUCAUGAGUUGUCAUUAGGAGUUCUACGAGGACGUGAACGCUUUUUAGAAGUUGGAAUCUCGUAAUUACGGGAAUUCCGAUAUGGCGUGAACGCAGCAUUAGUUAAUCACUUGAUGGGUGUUUAUAUUCGCUUAACCAAAAUCAAAACAAGCAAACUACACAGUGCAACAGACGAGUGGGAAAUCAAAGACUGGAAUGCUGGGAGAACGCUGGGGAAACUGACAAAGGGGUGAGCUCUGGAAAGGAGGACGGAUACUUCCUGUUCCUGCUGGAGUGACCUGCAGGUCUGAGGAGGAGUGAGGGAGAGGAAGGCAGAGAAAGCGAUACCCUGUGAAACCUGCUGGUGUAAACUUACCUCUGAUUGGGACUCACUGAUGUAAUGGACAAACAAGCACAAAAUGUGUCGAUACCCACAUCAAAUCUCCCAGGUUUCUUUUACAGUGAUUUGCGUACAGCUUCACCCUUGGCCAGAGUGCAGUUGUGAAACUGGAAGUGACAGUGCCAGCUUCUUCUACCACACCAGCUGAGAGAGAGAGAGAGAGAGAGAGGGGAGGCUUAGCCCAGUGCAUCUGUGUGUCCUGCAUUAUGGGUAGGGAGGUAAGCAGUAGGCAGGAGGUUUAUGGUGCUGUAAUUGGUAGUUAGUGUGAUAUUUGUAAGACAAAUAGAGCUAUAUGUGCGAUUCCUCCUCUCUCUCUCCUCUCUAGUCUUUACAGCCACCAAAGGGCCUCAUUAUAGCCCACUGCAACCCAGGCCUCACUGCAUCGCACACACACACACGAAGGGCAGGAAGUUGUGUGUGACAGUUCGGCUGCCAGGACUGAUAGAUGAUACAGUAAGUGUGGUAUUCAUUGAGAGAGGACCCUGAUGGUCUGGGGAAUGAAACAGCUCUUCAUUACAUCGCAACCCAGUGGACGUUUUACACUCACGCUGUGCGCGGCGGGACUGACUGAGUUUACUGUGGUCACUCAUGCAUAUGUGGGGUUCUGAAUUAACUUUUUUACAAGACCUGCCAAUGGUUAGCAAAUCUGGAAAACAACCAUCUAUCACUGUGUUGUUAUUGUUAACUAAAACUUAUAUAUUGUUUUAAAUUUUUUGGGUCAUUAAAAUAAAG
rnacentral:lncRNA from 1 species